rnacentral:miRNA from 1 species
GCUCCUUGUCCCGAGACCGCGA